GCCGGGCAGUGGCUCAUGCCUGUAAUCCCAGCAGCUUGGGAGGCUGAGGCAGGAGGAUCGCGAGUUCAAAGCCAGCCUCAACAAUUUAAUGAGGCACUAAGCAACUCAGUGAGACCCUGUCUCUA
rnacentral:sRNA from 1 species